AUGGAUCACCACCAUCACCACCACCACCACCAUCAUCACAUGAUCCCUGGACAGGAGCCUUCGGCCGGGGACGGUGCACCCCAGGACAACUUCUUCCUCGGCCCCGCCGGCGUCGGCAUCUUCGGUGGCGUCGGCGGCGCGUCUGGGGCCGGCUCGUCCUCGUCUGGCGCCGCGGGGGGCGCCGGGACCUCGGCGGGUGGCAGUGGCGGAGGAGGCCCGUCGCCGUCAGGGUCGUCGCCGUCGCUGAGCCGGUACGAGUCGCAGAAGCGCCGGGACUGGAACACGUUCGGCCAGUACCUGAGGAACCACCGGCCGCCGCUGUCGCUGUCGCGGUGCAGCGGCGCGCACGUGCUGGAGUUCCUCAAGUACAUGGACCAGUUCGGCAAGACCAAGGUGCACACGGCGGUGUGCCCCUUCUACGGCCACCCGAACCCGCCGGCGCCGUGCCCGUGCCCGCUCCGCCAGGCCUGGGGCUCCCUCGACGCGCUCAUCGGCCGCCUCCGCGCCGCCUACGAGGAGAACGGCGGCACGCCCGAGAUGAACCCCUUCGGCGCGCGCGCCGUCCGCCUCUACCUUCGCGAGGUGCGCGAGACGCAGGCGCGGGCCAGGGGGAUCAGCUACGAGAAGAAGAAGCGCAAGAAGCCGUCGUCGUCUACGUCGGCCGCCGCGGGGCCGUCGUCCGAGGGGAGCCCGCCUCCUGGCCCGUCCGGCAGCGGCGGGGGCGACACGUCGGCGUCGCCACACUUCAUCAUGCCGUGA
rnacentral:rRNA from 1 species